rnacentral:rRNA from 1 species
UACGGAGGGUGCGAGCGUUGUCCGGAAUCACUGGGCGUAAAGGGCGCGUAGGCGGCCUGAUAAGUAGGGGGUGAAAUCCUGCGGCUUAACCGCAGGGCUGCCUUCUAGACUGUCAGGCUAGAGCACAGUAGAGGCAGGUGGAAUUCCCGGUGUAGCGGUGGAAUGCGUAGAGAUCGGGAAGAACAUCAGUGGCGAAGGCGGCCUGCUGGGCUGUUGCUGACGCUGAGGCGCGACAGCGUGGGGAGCAAACGGG